UACGGUGGGAGCAAGCGUUGUUCGGAUUUACUGGGCGUAAAGGGCGCGUAGGCGGCACCGCAAGUCGACUGUGAAAUCUCCGGGCUUAACUCGGAAAGGUCAGCCGAUACUGCGGGGCUAGAGUGCAGAAGGGGCAACUGGAAUUCUCGGUGUAGCGGUGAAAUGCGUAGAUAUCGAGAGGAACACCUGCGGCGAAGGCGGGUUGCUGGGCUGACACUGACGCUGAUGCGCGAAAGCUAGGGGAGCGAACGAG
rnacentral:rRNA from 1 species